AGAUCAUAAACAAGAUGUGUACAAGACUAGGCCCAUCAUGGAUUGGGAGCAAGAGGGAUUACAAGACCUCCACUCCCUAAGGAACCUCAGUCUGGUACUGGCUGCUAGGAGCCCAGAAUCAUGUUCACUUGCACAGCUACUGAUCUUCUGGCAUGGCAUGUCAAGCAGAGCACUGCAGGUUUAGGUGCAAGCAUCUUGAAGGGCAUGAUUAGGAGGCAGAAUGGAGUUGAGGAAGGAUUCUAGAGUUGGAUACUUCCACUCCUACUACCACUCUGUUCUUUACGAGCUGUGAGACCCUGGAAAAGUUACCCAACCUCAGUUUUCUCUCUGGCAGUUAAAAAAAGUUUCGGUUACACAUGUGUUCCCAUGUACACCAAGAGAAAGACUGGUCUCCGCCAUCCUUGCUUUCUGCUGUCACCCACAUUCCUCCCAACCUUUUCUCUCAGUCAGCAGCGGGUCCAGUGAUCAGGAAGGAUUCA